CACGGAUCAGGUCCCACGGGCGGGUGGACGCAGAGCUCCGACUAGCUGCAAGUCCAGCGCUCUUUUGUGCUGCUUCUUUGUGGAAGGAAAUGUGAAGAAAACCCAGCGUCACCCUGUAAACCAGACAAAAUACAAAACAGUGGAGAAGCCCAGAGAAGGCAAAACUGAUUCCGGAUAUUUCUCUUUUAAAAGUAACAUGGCAUCAUGGAAGAAAUUUGGCCUUCCGCAAGUGCAGGAUAAAGUCAUGCUCAAGGGGAAGAACAGCAAUGCAGCAUCUGCGGCUUAGACACACAGAGUGCGUCUGUAAUUUGGAGUAAGAUAGAAGUGGGGGCGGAGAGGGGGAAGGCCAUGCCCUUUCAGAGAUUCUGAGAAACUCCAACCAUAAAAGUCCAUGACAACUCAAGGGCAGUACCCUUGACCCCAUGUUUGUCAGUAAGAAGAAGAAAAAUGUCACCAUGCGAUCCAUCAAGACCACCCGGGACCGAGUGCCUACAUAUCAGUACAACAUGAAUUUUGAAAAGCUGGGCAAAUGCAUCAUAAUAAACAACAAGAACUUUGAUAAAGUGACAGGUAUGGGUGUUCGAAACGGAACAGACAAAGAUGCCG
rnacentral:sRNA from 1 species